rnacentral:tRNA from 1 species
UCCGAUAUGGUGUAGUGGCUAACAUCGCUCGCUCUCAUUACUUGAACCGAGCAGCCCUGGGUUCGAUUCCCAGUAUCGGAG